GGCUUUAGCGGGGGAACACCCGGACACAAACCGUAACACACAUCUUUGUGAAAGUCUAGCUAUUUCCAAAAUCAGGUAUGGCAGCAUCCUCCCCUUUUCUCUUCUACUUUUCACAGAGGAAAUACAAAAAAUGGCUGAGAGAAAAGUCCCGUAUAUUAGGGUAUCAACUGAACAUGGAACUUUCUCAUAGAUGAGUGAGUUGAUGAAGGAACCAAAAUCUAUCAAGAUAAUGAAGCUACACUGUGAAGGUCAGACUGAGGCAGAGAAGGAUGAUUAGGCUUCCCUGCCUUGAGUUCUGCUCACUAAUUUCCCGAGCUGAUUUCCCUUUUAAACACCAGCAGAACUGCCACUGUUUAGAUUUUCCUUGGAGCAGAUGUGUAGUUAAAUGUUGAGGCACAAAAAACUUUUAAUAAAUAAUAAUGACAUCAUCAGCUAACAUCUACUGGGCUUUUAUGACAAAUCAUAAUUGGAGGGUUCACUAUAGUGGGGAGAAAGAGAGGGAGAGAGAGAGAGACAGAGACAGAGAGACAGAGAAAGAGACAGAGUGAGGCAAGGGCAGCGAGUGCAUGUGCUAAGUCACACGCCUUUUUUGCCUUCUCGAUUCUAAAUUUGAAAAUCUUUCUGGAAAGAUUUCUCUUAGUUUUGUUUCUGGAACAAUAAUGAUCUCACCGGUAGCAACAACACCGCAAUUAGCUCAUCACUCUUCUCCCCUUUAGAAGUUGACAUUAACUGGGAACUCUGUCGAAUGUCUAAUUUUGAGACAGUUUCAACUGUUCCCAGGGAGCUUGUGCGCACCUGUGAGAGUGAAGAAAGCCGCCCCCGCCAGCCUCCCAGCAUGGGGAAGAGGACCACACUUGGCCCAGCAGACACUGGCUUUUACAUAACCUAAUUGGACCGGGAAGGUGUGUCAGAGGAAUUGUCACUUUCAGAAUGUCCACAGAACUCCACUUAUGGGCCCUGAGGCUUUGGGCGUUUGCCAGCUUCUUGCUGGUGAGGCUGCCGUUCUGGAGACCCUGGUUCUCAAGGAGAAACGUGUGAAGCUCUGCGCCUCAGGCUGUGGCUGUGUAUUCCUGAUGUCUCUCCUGAGCAAGCCCAAGGGCUAUUUCAGAGGAAGGAGAAUGGAAAACAGGCACUGUAGCCUCUGAGGUAAAUCUCUUGGAAUGUAUCACUAAAGUCAGACAGCUCCAGCCUUCAUCUACCCUAAAG